CAGAGCUCGUACCCCCUGGGUAGAUCUCCCACCCGCUGCUAUUACUACGAUGGUUGCUUUGGCGGGCCGCCGGGCCCCGCUCGGCCGCCGGCGCUGCUGGCGCGCGCCCGCCAGAGGCCCCUCCAGACUCUGAAUGUUUAGCGUCGUCUGAGUACUAUACAAUAGUUA
rnacentral:misc_RNA from 1 species